rnacentral:lncRNA from 1 species
CCUCUUGUCGUGUAACCUAUGUGAGUUUUAAGGAUUCCUCAAUAAGAAAAAGCAAUGCAUAUUUUUCAGGGCCAUAUAAAAAUUCAAGUUCAUUCCAGUUCAAGUUCAGGGAGUUUUACCAGAGGUGUUCACGAUGGAUUGAAAAUGACAAUGUAAACAAAAAUUUUUUUUUUCAAUGUGCUAGCCAAAGUUAGAGUGGCCUUUACUGUACAUGGCUAUAGUUUUAUGAAUCUUCUCAGAAACUUCAAGAAGACGUUAGGUAGAUCUAAAUUCUUAGUCCUGAAAAUGUCACUGGAGCUGACAUUUUCUGUGAAGAUCGUGGUCAACCACUAUUUAUAGGAAGCACAGUGAAGACAUGGGCAUUAUUCAGGUCAUAGGGUAUGUCCUGAGCUCUCUCAGUCAUCCUGCCUGAGAUACAGUCCUGGCUCAGGACAAAGCUACAUAUUCCUCACUUUCCUGUGUGUCAGAUUUAUACCUUCAAAAUAGAGAUCAAAAGACGAGUGAGCUUGGAACCAAGGGAGCAUUGUGUCCAGGAGCUUAGCCUGUCGUGUGGGGUCUAGGUUGGGAGUCCUACAAGGACCUUGAUAACUUGGGCAUUAAAACUACUUGAAAUGUACUAAACUCUGCCAAGAACGCUGGUCAGUAUUCCAAAGGAUCAGUGCCAAAAAUGUCUCAUUAAAAUAAAAAGAAGAUGUGAUUUGAAAUUAUUUUUUAGAAUGGCAAGCUUACUGGUUUAAAAAAAGUACCUUUUAAUAUAGCAUAAAUUGUAUAUCAUAUAAUAGCAACUGUAUAAUGUAAUGCAAACAACAAAAAAAAAUUUCAGAUUUUUUUUCUUUAUAGCCAAAUCAACAGGAAAGAAAUGUUAUUGUUGGGUAAGGGUUGUUUGUGCUAUCAGCAGUGGAUACAGGACCCAUGGUUAUCUUUUUGAAAUUUUAUUUUUGGACAGCCUGUGCUUGUUCAGGCAGUUCCUCUGGCAUCCUUCUCCCCACCAAAGUCACUCCCCGUCCCUUCCCCAGGAGAGGUGAUUUCUGUGCUAGUCACUCGAGAAGAGUCAUAGCAGCAUCUUUUCCUUUGUGGAACCCAGGAGAGACCACUAACAGGGAGAGUCAGGGAGUGCGAAGAUGGCAGAUGAGGGCCAUGGUUAGGAGAGGAGGGGCAGAGGGGGUGGGCUCACAAAUGACAAGAGUGGUGUUGAUAAGAUGCCCAGGUGGGGUUGGGGGUAAGAGGAGAGAGAUCGAUGAGCCACCAGGUGGCUACCCCCACGGAUGCUCAGAGACUUCUCUUAAGUCUCCCUCAACCUCACUGAAUUUUUCUAUGGUUCUCUAGUGCUGUGCUGUCCUACAGAAGCCACUAGGCACCUGUGGCCCUUGAGAUGCGACUAGUCAAAAUUGUCCCUUGUUUUAAGUGUAAAAUACAUCCUGGAUUUCAAAGAUGUCAUAUUAAAAAGGCAAAAGAGUUCACUAAUCAUUUUUAUAUCUACUACAUGUUGAAGUGAUAAUAUUUAAGAUAUUCCAUUAGAAUUCAUUUCUUUUUUUUUUUUUCACGCUUUAAAAAUGGUUACUAGGAAAUGUAAACUUAUAUCUGUGGUUUGCUUUACCAACCACAUUUUCUAGUUUCUGUAUUGGAUGCUUUGAGGCUUUGUUAACCCUGAGGGGGCCACCUCUCCCAGGACUAGCCAACUUCUAGAGAUGUUAAGGUUGGCAUAUGAAAGUACCUUCCAUACGCAAAGCAACCUAUCCAGCACCUCCUUUACUGGACUUUCACACUUCAGGCCAUUGUCCAUCUGCCCUAAUCAUUCUAGGCUGGGUACACACCACUAGGGACAGCUUCUGUGCUCCAGAGCCAGCUUUUUAUUUUUUUUCUCUUUAUAGUUGCACCCGGGGCAUAUGAAAGUUUCUGGGCCAGGGGUUGAAUUGGAGCUGUAGCUGCAGCCUUCACCACAGCCAUGGCAACACUAGAUCUGAGGCACAUCUGUGACCUAAGCUGCAGUUUAUGGCAAUACUGGGUCUUUAACCCACUGCACAAGGCCAGGGAUUGAACCCGCAUCCUCUAGAGACAUUGUCGGGUCCUUAACCCACUGAGCCACACUGGAAACUCUCCCAGAGCCGGCUUUAAUUAUUCAAACCACCAAUCCUAAUUCUCUUUGCCCUGUCUCUCCCAUUCUUCCUUGUGGAAGCCACUGUAAAAGCCCUUGCCUGCUUCCCCCCCACGCCCUCAGUACAGCCCUGGGAGGCUCCCCAUGGAAUGAGCUGCCCCUCCUCUUAGGAUUUGUGGAUAUAACAAACUGUCUUUUCAAUGGCAGUCAUUUUCUGUUCCUUUCACUUUGCCAUGCUUGGAUUAUAAUAAAAUCUAUGUUUUAUAAUACCUGUAUCCUAUUUCUGUGGGACAGUAUUUUUUUCUCCAAGUGGAGAUCCUUGAUCACCUGUGGUAGAAUCACCUACAGAAUCAGAAUCAAACAUCCAGAAUCCUGGGCCUCUUGGAAGUAGUACAGCCCUGAAACAUAGUAUUAGCUCAAUGAAAUAGUAGCUAUUAUUAUUUUGAUGCCACAAUAACAAUUGUAGUAAUAAUGAUAGUAAAGUGAUUUCAUUCUGGCUUGAGAAGACCAUUUCUUCUCUGUUUAUUGUUAUGUUUAUUACUAUUUUGUAAUAUGUUAGUUUUGUUUUUGGCUGCCGCUCAGCAUAUGGAGUUCCUGGGCGGGGAUCAGAUCUGAUCCUCAGCUGCUGCUCUGGCAAUUCUAGAUCCUUAACCCACUGUGCAGGGCUGGCAAGCAAACCUACAUCCCUGCACUCCAGAGAUGCCAACGAUCCCGUAGCACCAUAAUGGGAACUCCUUGUUAUAUGUUUUAAAAAUGUAUUAUAUACGUAUCUUUAUUUGUUAAACUAGCAUUUAUUGAGUGUUCACUAUUGGUCAAGCUUGCGUUAAGUGUUUUACACAUCAUUUGAUUUAAUCCUCAUUAUAAUCAAUUGAGUAACAAGUAAGCAACCAAAGUAACUUGCCCGGAGUCACGCAGCUUGCUAGUGUUGGAGCCGUGGGGAAGCUAAAUAAUCGUGAGGAUUAUUUUGGGCUGAUUGUUUUAAGAAACAGAAGACUCAAGAAAUUUUUCUUUUAACCUUCCCCUUGACUGCCUAAAAGAAUGUAGAUAGAGGACCUGUUCUAGGAAGAAGGUAUCACCAGAGAUAACUGUAGUACAAUGUGAACCAGGUGUGGAGACGGGGGAGAUACAGUAAAGUCUGUUUCUUAAAAUCCCUCUCUGUAUCCCAUUGUUUCUGUGCAGCCCAGCAAAGACUCGCAACCAAACAUCUACUCUUUUCCAUCUUCCCAUGAAUUGCCGCCCUUCUCUCUGGAGUCCCACCACCCUUCCCACGUCUCCUUCUCUCAGACGGCAUGUAAGCCUCGCUUGGCUAACUUGUCUUUGGCUCUCAUUUUCUCCUGAAGCCCCAAUAUGUACAAAAUUAACUUCGAUUUUCUGCUCUUGAUCUGACUCACAUCACUUGAAUUCUUAGACCUAGAAGGGUAGAGGAAACAUUUUCCCCUCCCUGACUGAGAAUAUAUGUCAUUUUGAAUAAUGUACAAUUUUUGUAUAUACUUAAAACUGUUCGACACAGUCCCUAUUCAGAAGGAUGAUUUAGAGUGUCUGUUCAGUUAAGAAUUGUAGUGAAACAAAUACACAUGUGAGCCCCCCGAGGAGGGGAGCGUGUCUUCUCUCUGUGCCUCUUUCCACUUUUCUCCACUAGAGGUGGCCCACCUUAACUUUUGUGAUUGUCAUCCUGUUCUUCUCUGUAUAUACACACCACCCAUAGGUGUUUCUCUAAACAGCAUUUUCUCUAAACUUGGUAUUUUACUUGCCUGCUCACAGACUUUAGACAAGUAGACUACUCUGCUGUGGUUUGCUGCUUUUGCUCAGUACCCAUCUGUGUGGAGUGAGAGUAGUUGGAGUCUGCUCAUUUUCUCUGCUUUACUGAAUUCUAUUAUGUGAAUAUUAUUUUGGUUGACAUUUUUCUGUUGACCUUUGGGUGGUUUUAUGGUUUUUGUUAUUAAGAAUAAUACUGCUAGGAGUUCCAGCUGUGGUGCAGUGGAUUAAGGACCCACCAUUGCCACAGCUGUGGCGUAGGUCAUAGCUGCAGCUCGGAUUCAGUCCCUGGCCUGGGAACUUCCAUAUGUUCAAGGAAAAAAGGAGAGAACGAUUUUGCUAAUACUGCCAGAAAUACUCUAUUUUCCUGUUCUUGAAGUUUCAAAGGUGUUUAUUCUUUUUUUUAUAAACAAAUUACUAUUAGUAUUAGCUAACUAACAUUUUAUUUAUUUUUUUUUAGGGCUGCACCCACAACAUAUGGAAGUUCUUAGACUAGGGGUCAAAUGGAGCCGCAUCUGUGACCUACACCACAGCUCAUGGCAAUGCCGGAGCCUUAACCCACCAAGCCAGGGCCAGGGGUUGAACCUGCAUCCUCAUGGAUACUAGUUUGGUUCGUUACCACUGAUCCAUAAUGGGAACUCCUUAACUAGUAUAUUAUUUUAUUUUCAUUUCAUUUUAUUUUAUUUUUUGUCUUUUUGCCAUUUCUUUGGCAGCUCCCACAGCAUAUGGAGGUUCCCAGGCUAGGGGUCAAAUAGGAGCUGUAGCCACUGGCCUAUGCCAGAGCCACAGCAGCUCGGGAUCUGAGCCACGUCUGCAUCCUACACCACAGCUCAUGGCAACGCCGGAUCCUUAACUCACUGAGCAAGGCCAGGGAUCGAACCUGCAACCUCAUGGUUCCUAGUUGGAUUCGUUAAACACUGAGCCACGACGGGAACUCCCUUAACUAUAUUAUAACUAAUCUGUGGGCCUCUUUGGUUUUCAUUAGUUUCUUCACUGAUGCCCUUUCAGGAUCUUAUCCAGGAUCGCACAUUACAUUUGCUUUCUAUUUUCGGGGUCACCUUUUGAACCUGUUUCUGUCUUACUCCAAAAGUCACAGCAGCAGUAUUUCAGGGUGAUUUAAGGCAGCAUGUGAAAUAGAUUUUAGGGCAGAGAAGUAAAAGAAAGAAUGCCAGAAGAGUCUUUCUAUAUUAUUAUUUUUAAUUAAUUUUUAAAUUAAGGUAUAGAUUUACAGUGCUGUGCCAAUUUCUGCUGUACAGCGAAGUGACUCAGUUAUGUACAUUCAUUUUUUAUUCUUUUCCAUCAUGGUCUUGCCCAGGAGAUUGGAUAUAGUCCCCAUGCUAUAAGGAGGGUCUUAUUGUUUAGCCUUUCUAAACGUAAUAGUUUGCAUCUCGCUAUGUUAUUAUUGCUUAAGGCAGAGAGGAGAAGGGGUCUGACAAAGAGGAGCCAUGCAGGUGUAUACACAUCUGUGUGGCACAGACUGCAUUGUAACAGUGUGUUCAUCUGUCUCCCAUAGAAGCCCACAAGUUCCUUGAGGGCAAGGGACACUAAAGCUAAUUCAUCUUAGUAUUUUCUUCAGGUACUUAGACGAGGGACUGGCUAAUGGCUAACGUAGUCAUUUGGUGGGGGUUUGUCAAAUGCAUUAAGAUGAAUGAGAAAGGUGAGCUGAAAGGGAAGCUGUGACCCACAGAAAGCAUCAGAAGGCUAAACGGAAAGAGGGACAAAGAAAGAAGAAGAGGGAUCUGGUCAGCUGAUGGGCUGGGAGACACAGACAGGGAAGUCAAGGCACUGACAGCAGAAGAGAAAGAAAGGACGCGAGAAUACAGAGGAAAGGAAGCAGGGAGAUUUGCCAUAUAAGCAGUGAGAGCUGUGGCGCCGUUUUCCCGCCUUGUUGCUAACUUCGAUUCUGUACGUGAUCACCCAUCACUGACCUUCAAAGCCUUGCCUCCUUUAUUUAUUGCUGUUCACAGCACUCAGACCUUCUUUUCUUCUUUACUCCCUCAUUUUACUCCGUCACCCGUCGCUGCUAAGAAUAGUCUCAUGCUGCAGCAAUAGAAUGUCACAUGAUUCCUGUACUUCACUGUCACCGGGCCACUCCUGGAGCUUAGGCCUCCAGGUUGCUUCCUGCUCCAAGACCUUUGCACGUGUUGGUCCCUCCUUCUCAGGUUCUCGACCCUCAGGUUUUCAUAGGAUUGGCUUCCUCUCAUCCUCAAAGUUUUCGCCCCUCAAAGUUUUAGCCUCUUGCUGUUUUAUUGUCUUCGAAGUGCUUAGGGCUCUGGGGAAUUUUCUUGUUUUGCUCACUUCUUUUUCAUUUGUCUAGAAUGAAAGUGUCUAGUCCACUAGAAUAUAGUUCCAUGAGGGA